UUUUUUUUUUCAUUAUAUUUUAUUGGAUAAAAUUCCUGUAUAGUAUUGUUGCUUAAGUUUCUCUCUUAUAAUUUUUCUAUGUGGCUACUUAAUUUUAAAAAUAAACUUUUAUUCAUGAGAAAAAAGCCACGUAAUAAAAUCUUAAGUGAGGUAUAUGAGGAAUAACGUCUAAGAAUUGUAGCUAAGGUUUACCUUUCUUUGUUUGUGUGAACAAAACACUAUUACUCUCUCUUUCUCCUCCCAUAGACAGACCCACGCCUCUUAGCCUCUCCCAAAAAGACUGGUUAUAAUGCUAGUGGUUCAGAUUCAGAUGAAUUGAAGGGUGAUUCUUAGCAAACCCUUUAGGCCUGUAAGUCCGAAACAAUCAAAUAUAUGGGAUUGGUGGCAAAAAGAUAGCUUUUGUGGGACUACUUGAACUCAAAUAAUUUUUUGUAAAGUUUGGAAGCUAAGACAUCAUUUGUAUAUAAAUGGUUGUAAUUACUUUGUGAUGACAAAUAAUUCGU